AGGAGAGUCAUCAGUUCCCCCCGGGGGAGGAAGGGAAACACUGUGGUUGACAGCCCUACACAGAGAUCUCGGGGAGGAUGACGAGAGCUUUCUCAAUGGAAAGAGGGAGAAUGAACACUGGGCAAACAAAAACAGAUGGCCACCACAAACCAUCAAGAGCUUUGAAAGAGACGGUGCUAUCUCGGAGCUGCCUCUCUGGUCCUCUGGUCCUGCAGUUGUUGAAUUGUGAUCCCCAGAGAGAGAUGUUGAAGUCCUAACCCUGGUAUUUGUGAGGGUGAUCUUAUUUGGAAACACUGUGGAGUCUUUGUAGAUGCAAUCAAUUGAACAUGAAUUUAUUAAGGCGGGACCUAAUCCAUUAUGACUGGUGUUCUGAUAAGAGAUGUAAAGACAGAGACACACAGGAAGAAUGCCAUGUGAUGACGAAAACAAAGAUUGGAAUGAUACAGCUACAAGCCAAGGAACGCCAAGGACCCAUGGCCACCACUGGAAGCCAGGAAGAGGCAAGGAAGGAUUCUACCCAGAGUCUCAAGGGGAGCGUGGGCCUGCUGAUUUUGGACUCCAAACCCCCAGAACCAUAGAAGAAUAAAUUUCCAUUGUUUUAAGCUGCUCAGUUUGUGGUACUUUGUGAUGGCAGUCCUCGGAAAUGAAUACACGUCCACCUCCUGUUUCUUCUCCUUUCCUCCACCAGCCUCAGACUGUAACUCUCACCAAUACUACAAGACAGCACUUCCCAAAUUUUAAUACACAUACAAAUCAUUUGAGGAUCUCGAUAAACUGUUGAUUCGGAUUCAGUAGUUCUGGAUGAGGCCUGAGAGUCUGCAUUUCUUAGAAGUUCCCGAGUGAUGUCCACGCUGCUGGCCCAAAAACCACACUUGGAGAAGCAAGGCUAUAUAUAAGAGAGUCAGCAAGGAAAUGUUGCUGUCAGGGACUCUCCCCAGUCACGCAGAAAUCCAGUAUAUUAAUGAAGUGAAGGAAGAGUGGCAAGCCCAGCUCUGCAGUUGAGACACAGCCCUGGCACACCUUCUGCUGACAUGUGCCACUCCUGGAAUGCUGGGUCACUCCACCCUCAAACUAACUUCUGGCUGAACUGGGGGUAUCCUGGCUACAGCUGAGGAGAGGCUUCAGUCCGAGUUUUCACACUUGAACUUUUAGUUCAGGAGCAAAAGCCAAAAAAUGCAACCUACCCCAAGCAACAGCCAGGAUGUUGAUGCUGCCAGGCAAUUCCUGGCUCACUGGACCACCACCUCCUACUUUCUGGACCAGGAGGAUACACCAGAGACCAACCUCCCGUGAUUCAGGAGGCCUUGCUGACAAAUCACUGAUCCAGCCAGACUUCUUCCUUUGCUUGAGUUACUACCUGGUAAUGAGUUGUGCACUUUGCAAAGUGUAUUGAUACUUUUACACAAGCAAGAUUGGAAAAAAUACAUGCAACGUUUAUUUUAAAAUGUUGGCCUUGGGAACUAGAAAUGUUUUAGGGGACAUGAGAUUUUAUUUUUAGUACCAUAUCUGUUCUAACAAGCUUAAAACUUCAUACAAUAAGUCGCUCGCUACUGACAUGUGAGUCAUCAUAUUAUCAUCAGAUUUCUAGUGUAGUGGCAUUCUUUUUCUACAAAGAAGUAUUAAAUGCAUAGGACUUAAAAUACUGUAAUAAGGCCCCAGCUGUAUGGGAGAAUAAUUUUUAAUCUAUACGGAAAAGCUGACUAUGACUUGACGUGAAUCAACAGAUUUGUGGUACCCAUUAAUACAAUGUGAUAUAGUAAAGAUGAGAAAAAUCUAAGAAUAUUGAAAGAAUAUGUAGUGAAGGAUCCUGCAGUUAUAAUAAUGAAGCUUGUCUCAAAGCCUUGCUUCUGGAUCUGGCGACAAAAUACUUAAUUAGCAUUUUAUUGCCAUGUAAUCUAUCCAUCUCACUUUAUAUUUAAUUGGGAAAUUUACUUUUAAAACUAAAUUCUUGGGCCGGCCCAAUGGUGCAAUGGUUAAGUUCACACAUUCUGCUUCGGCGGCCCACGGUUCACCGGUUCAGAUCCCAGGUGCAGACAUGGCACCGAUUAACAAGCCAUGCUGUGGUAGGCGUCCCACAUAUAAAGUAGAGGAAGAUGGGCACGGAUGUUAGCUCAGGGCCAGUCUUCCUCAGCAAAAAGAGGAGGGUUGGCAGCAGAUGUUAGCUCAGGGCUGAUCUUCCUCAAAAAAAAAAAAACUAAAUUCUUGUCUUCACUUUCUUUUAGCCUUAUUUUAAAAAUCAAAAGUCACAGAAAAGUUACCUGGUUAAAGUUUACCUAAUAAAUGCUCACUAGAGACAAAUUUGAACAAUCUCCUGACUCCAAACCAAGUAGGCAUUUUAUUUGACCAAUCUGCCUCCAAGGCUGUCAUUUCCAGACAAUUAUGUUUUAUUGCUGUGACAAAUAAAAAUGGCAAGCAAUAGGAUAUAUUGGAGAAUAUGCGGAAGCCAUGUGGUAUAAACCUAAUUCGGCCUGACCUUGUCUUUCCAAAAGGGCCUGACCAAGGCCAUUGGGCAUGCAUUGUAUAUCUGCUUUAGAUAUUCCCUAUGUCAAGAGCAAAGGCCCUUGAGAUAAAGGUGCAACCUCCCUCCCCCUCCCAACGUUGGCGGCUCCUUAAGGAUUAAGCAUCUUUCCUUAGGCUAGAAACUGAUUGCUGCGCUCACCUGUGACCACCCAGCUCGAGACAAUAGACUUGCCUCCUGCUACGCCCACCAAGAUAGCAGACCCACUACCUGGUGUGUCCAUUAAGCACUGUGCCAACAGGGCAAUCUUGUGACUAUUGUGGGAGGGACAUUUCAAUCAUAUGUAAAGCACCCUCUUUGGAGGUAUAUAACCACUCUGUACACCUCAUUUCUUUGGUGCCCUUUCUUCCUUCAGGAAGAAAGGCCCCGGGCCAUGGUCCUCAGAUUUCAGCUCAGAAUAAACUCACCCAAAUUUUCAUUUAUAGAUUGGUUAUGGAUUAUUUUCGUUGACAGCUGCUAUUUUUAAUGCCAUUUCAGAACUUUAAUUUUAUUCUUUCCUCCUCACUUCACUACUCUCACUGAGCCAUCUAUACUGUACCAGAAUUGCACAACAGAGGGUGGAAAAACACACAGAACCUUGGAAAGUGUGAAUAGGUUAAUGGCUAAGUAUCAGCAGAAAUGCUCAUAGGUUUUGGGACUAGUGGAUCAUGAAAGAACAAGAAUCUG
rnacentral:lncRNA from 1 species